GACGUAGGGCGCAAGCGUUGUCCGGAUUUAUUGGGCGUAAAGAGCUCGUAGGUGGCUUGUCGCGUCGACUGUGAAAACCCGCGGCUUAACUGCGGGACUGCAGUCGAUACGGGCAGGCUAGAGUUCGGUAGGGGAGACUGGAAUUCCUGGUGUAGCGGUGAAAUGCGCAGAUAUCAGGAGGAACACCGGUGGCGAAGGCGGGUCUCUGGGCCGAUACUGACGCUGAGGAGCGAAAGCGUGGGGAGCGAACAGG
rnacentral:rRNA from 1 species